rnacentral:rRNA from 1 species
AGUGAACGCUGGCGGUAGGCCUAACACACGCAAGUCGAACGGCAGCACAGUAAGAGCUUGCUCUUACGGGUGGCGAGUGGCGGACGGGUGAGGAAUACAUCGGAAUCUACUUUUUCGUGGGGGAUAACGUAGGGAAACUUACGCUAAUACCGCAUACGACCUACGGGUGAAAGCAGGGGAUCUUCGGACCUUGCGCGAUUGAAUGAGCCGAUGUCGGAUUAGCUAGUUGGCGGGGUAAAGGCCCACCAAGGCGACGAUCCGUAGCUGGUCUGAGAGGAUGAUCAGCCACACUGGAACUGGGACACGGUCCAGACUCCUACGGGAGGCAGCAGUGGGGAAUAUUGGACAAUGGGCGCAAGCCUGAUCCAGCCAUACCGCGUGGGUGAAGAAGGCCUUCGGGUUGUAAAGCCCUUUUGUUGGGAAAGAACAGCAGCAGGUUAAUACCCCGCUGUUCUGACGGUACCCAAAGAAUAAGCACCGGCUAACUUCGUG